UACGUAGGGGGCAAGCGUUGUCCGGAAUCAUUGGGCGUAAAGCGCGUGUAGGCGGCCCAGUAAGUCCGCUCUGAAAGCCCGGGGCUCAACCCCGGGAGGCGGGUGGAUACUGCUGGGCUAGAGUACGGAAGAGGCGAGUGGAAUUCCCGGUGUAGCGGUGAAAUGCGCAGAUAUCGGGAGGAACACCAAUGGCGAAGGCAGCUCGCUGGGACGUUACUGACGCUGAGACGCGAAAGCGUGGGGAGAAAACAGG
rnacentral:rRNA from 1 species